ACGCUGGCGGCAGGCCUAACACAUGCAAGUCGAGCGGUAGAGAGAAGCUUGCUUCUCUUGAGAGCGGCGGACGGGUGAGUAAUGCCUAGGAAUCUGCCUGGUAGUGGGGGAUAACGUCCGGAAACGGACGCUAAUACCGCAUACGUCCUACGGGAGAAAGCAGGGGACCUUCGGGCCUUGCGCUAUCAGAUGAGCCUAGGUCGGAUUAGCUAGUUGGUGGGGUAAUGGCUCACCAAGGCGACGAUCCGUAACUGGUCUGAGAGGAUGAUCAGUCACACUGGAACUGAGACACGGUCCAGACUCCUACGGGAGGCAGCAGUGGGGAAUAUUGGACAAUGGGCGAAAGCCUGAUCCAGCCAUGCCGCGUGUGUGAAGAAGGUCUUCGGAUUGUAAAGCACUUUAAGUUGGGAGGAAGGGCAGUAAAUUAAUACUUUGCUGUUUUGACGUUACCGACAGAAUAAGCACCGGCUAACUCUGUGCCAGCAGCCGCGGUAAUACAGAGGGUGCAAGCGUUAAUCGGAAUUACUGGGCGUAAAGCGCGCGUAGGUGGUUCGUUAAGUUGGAUGUGAAAUCCCCGGGCUCAACUUGGGAACUGCAUUCAAAACUGACUGACUAGAGUAUGGUAGAGGGUGGUGGAAUUUCCUGUGUAGCGGUGAAAUGCGUAGAUAUAGGAAGGAACACCAGUGGCGAAGGCGACCACCUGGACUGAUACUGACACUGAGGUGCGAAAGCGUGGGGAGCAAACAGGAUUAGAUACCC
rnacentral:rRNA from 1 species